UAAAGGCCUACCAAGGCGACGAUCCGUAACUGGUCUGAGAGGAUGAUCAGUCACACUGGAACUGAGACACGGUCCAGACUCCUACGGGAGGCAGCAGUGGGGAAUAUUGGACAAUGGGCGAAAGCCUGAUCCAGCCAUGCCGCGUGUGUGAAGAAGGUCUUCGGAUUGUAAAGCACUUUAAGUUGGGAGGAAGGGCAGUAAGUUAAUACCUUGCUGUUUUGACGUUACCAACAGAAUAAGCACCGGCUAACUUCGUGCCAGCAGCCGCGGUAAUACGAAGGGUGCAAGCGUUAAUCGGAAUUACUGGGCGUAAAGCGCGCGUAGGUGGUUCAGCAAGUUGGAUGUGAAAUCCCCGGGCUCAACCUGGGAACUGCAUCCAAAACUACUGAGCUAGAGUACGGUAGAGGGUGGUGGAAUUUCCUGUGUAGCGGUGAAAUGCGUA
rnacentral:rRNA from 1 species